GAUGAACGCUAGCUACAGGCUUAACACAUGCAAGUCGAGGGGCAGCAUUUCAGUUUGCUUGCAAACUGGAAAUGGCGACCGGCGCACGGGUGAGUAACACGUAUCCAACCUGCCGAUAACUCGGGGAUAGCCUUUCGAAAGAAAGAUUAAUACCCGAUGGUAUAAUCAGACCGCAUGGUCUUGUUAUUAAAGAAUUUCGGUUAUCGAUGGGGAUGCGUUCCAUUAGGUUGUUGGUGAGGUAACGGCUCACCAAGCCUUCGAUGGAUAGGGGUUCUGAGAGGAAGGUCCCCCACAUUGGAACUGAGACACGGCCCAGACUCCUACGGGAGGCAGCAGUGGGGAAUAUUGCACAAUGGGGGAAACCUUGAUGCAGCAACGCCGCGUGAGUGAUGAAGGUUUUCGGAUCGUAAAGCUCUGUCUUUGGGGAAGAUAAUGACGGUACCCAAGGAGGAAGCCACGGCUAACUACGUGCCAGCAGCCGCGGUAAUACGGAGGAUCCGAGCGUUAUCCGGAUUUAUUGGGUUUAAAGGGAGCGUAGGCGGACGCUUAAGUCAGUUGUGAAAGUUUGCGGCUCAACCGUAAAAUUGCAGUUGAUACUGGGUGUCUUGAGUACAGUAGAGGCAGGCGGAAUUCGUGGUGUAGCGGUGAAAUGCUUAGAUAUCACGAAGAACUCCGAUUGCGAAGGCAGCUUGCUGGACUGUAACUGACGCUGAUGCUCGAAAGUGUGGGUAUCAAACAGG
rnacentral:rRNA from 1 species